rnacentral:rRNA from 1 species
AGAGUUUGAUCCUGGCUCAGGACGAACGCUGGCGGCACGCUUAACACAUGCAAGUCGAACGAGAGAAGAGAAGCUUGCUUUUCUGAUCUAGUGGCGGACGGGUGAGUAACACGUGAGCAAUCUGCCUUUCAGAGGGGGAUACCGAUUGGAAACGAUCGUUAAUACCGCAUAAUAUAAUUGAACCGCAUGAUUUGAUUAUCAAAGAUUUAUCGCUGAAAGAUGAGCUCGCGUCUGAUUAGCUAGUUGGUAAGGUAACGGCUUACCAAGGCGACGAUCAGUAGCCGGACUGAGAGGUUGAUCGGCCACAUUGGGACUGAGACACGGCCCAGACUCCUACGGGAGGCAGCAGUGGGGAAUAUUGCACAAUGGAGGAAACUCUGAUGCAGCGAUGCCGCGUGAGGGAAGAAGGUUUUAGGAUUGUAAACCUCUGUCUUCAGGGACGAAAAAUGACGGUACCUGAGGAGGAAGCUCCGGCUAACUACGUGCCAGCAGCCGCGGUAAUUC